GUCCCAAAAGCUUCAUAAUUGAGUGAUGGUUUUUGUAACCUGAACUGCUGGGAGCUUUUUGGAACAGCAAAGACCAUGCUCCACUAUGGACUACACAGUUGUAGUUCAUAACUAAUGAUGUGGUUGACAAA
ensembl:snoRNA